rnacentral:rRNA from 1 species
GGUGAACGCUGGCGGCGUGCCUAAUACAUGCAAGUCGAGCGAAUGGAUUAAGAGCUUGCUCUUAUGAAGUUAGCGGCGGACGGGUGAGUAACACGUGGGUAACCUGCCCAUAAGACUGGGAUAACUCCGGGAAACCGGGGCUAAUACCGGAUAACAUUUUGAACCGCAUGGUUCGAAAUUGAAAGGCGGCUUCGGCUGUCACUUAUGGAUGGACCCGCGUCGCAUUAGCUAGUUGGUGAGGUAACGGCUCACCAAGGCAACGAUGCGUAGCCGACCCGGGAGGGGGAUGGGCCACACUGGGACUGAGCCACGGCCCAGACUCCUACGGGAGGCAGCAGUAGGGAAUCUUCCGCAAUGGACGAAAGUCUGACGGAGCAACGCCGCGUGAGUGACGAAGGCUUUCGGGUCGUAAAACUCUGUUGUUAGGGAAGAACAAGUGCUAGUUGAAUAAGCUGGCACCUUGACGGUACCUAACCAGAAAGCCACGGCUAACUACGUGCCAGCCGCCGCAGUAA